rnacentral:rRNA from 1 species
GUGGGGAAUAUUGGGCAAUGGGGGCAACCCUGACCCAGCAACGCCGCGUGAGGGAAGAAGGUUUUCGGAUUGUAAACCUCUGUCCUAUGGGAAGAAGGAAGUGACGGUACCAUAGGAGGAAGCCCCGGCUAACUACGUGCCAGCAGCCGCGGUAAUACGUAGGGGGCGAGCGUUGUCCGGAAUUACUGGGCGUAAAGGGUGCGCAGGUGGCCUGACAAGUCAGAUGUGAAAUACCGAUGCUUAACGUCGGGGCUGCAUUUGAAACUAUGAGGCUGGAGUGCAGGAGAGGGAAGCGGAAUUCCUAGUGUAGCGGUGAAAUGCAUAGAUAUUAGGAGGAACACCAGUGGCGAAGGCGGCUUUCUGGACUGUAACUGACACUGAGGCACGAAAGCGUGGGGAGCAAACGGGAUUAGAAACCCGAGUAGUCC